CCUACGGGUGGCAGCAGUCGAGAAUCAUUCACAAUGGGGGAAACCCUGAUGGUGCGACGCCGCGUGGGGGAAUGAAGGUCUUCGGAUUGUAAACCCCUGUCAUGUGGGAGCAAAUUAAAAAGAUAGUACCACAAGAGGAAGAGACGGCUAACUCUGUUCCAGCAGCCGCGGUAAUACAGAGGUCUCAAGCGUUGUUCGGAAUCACUGGGCGUAAGGCGUGCGUAGGCUGUUUCGUAAGUCGUGUGUGAAAGGCGCGGGCUCAACCCGCGGACGGCACAUGAUACUGCGAGACUAGAGUAAUGGAGGGGGAACCGGAAUUCUCGGUGUAGCAGUGAAAUGCGUAGAUAUCGAGAGGAACACUCGUGGCGAAGGCGGGUUCCUGGACAUUAACUGACGCUGAGGCACGAAGGCCAGGGGAGCGAAAGGGAUUAGAUACCCCAGUAGUC
rnacentral:rRNA from 1 species